CAAUAGCGUAUAUUAAAGUUGUUGCGGUUAAAAAGCUCGUAGUUGGAUUUCUGCUGAGGACGACCGAUCAGCCAAUACUGGUUUGUAUCAGGUUUGCCCGAGGCAUCUUCUUGGAAAACGUUCUGCACUUCAUUGAGUAGUUCGGUGUUCCAAGACUUUUACUUUGAGGAAAUUAGAGUGUUUCAAGCAGGCAUUUGCCUUGAAUACAUUAGCAUGGAAUAAUAAGAUAGGACUUCGGUUCUAUUUUGUUGGUUUUCGGAACUGAAGUAAUGAUUAAUAGGGACAGUCGGGGGCAUUCGUACUUAACUGUCAGAGGUGAAAUUCUUGGAUUUGUUAAAGACGAACUACUGCGAAAGCAUUUGCCAAGGAUGUUUUCAUUAA
rnacentral:rRNA from 1 species